GAUGAACGCUAGCGACAGGCUUAACACAUGCAAGUCGAGGGGCAGCAGGGGAGUAGCAAUACUCCCGCUGGCGACCGGCGCACGGGUGAGUAACACGUAUGCAACCUGCCCUUGUCAGGGGGAUAAGCGGAAGAAAUUCCGUCUAAUACCGCAUAAUGCUGCGGGGAGACAUCUCCCUGCAGCCAAAGAUUUAUCGGACAAGGAUGGGCAUGCGGCGCAUUAGCUGGUUGGCGGGGUAACGGCCCACCAAGGCGACGAUGCGUAGGGGUUCUGAGAGGAAGGUCCCCCACACUGGUACUGAGACACGGACCAGACUCCUACGGGAGGCAGCAGUGAGGAAUAUUGGUCAAUGGCCGGGAGGCUGAACCAGCCAAGUCGCGUGAGGGAAGACGGUCCUAUGGAUUGUAAACCUCUUUUGUCAGGGAGCAAAAACUGCCACGCGUGGCAGGAUGAGAGUACCUGAAGAAAAAGCAUCGGCUAACUCCGUGCCAGCAGCCGCGGUAAUACGGAGGAUGCGAGCGUUAUCCGGAUUUAUUGGGUUUAAAGGGCGCGUAGGCGGACAGUUAAGUCAGCGGUAAAAUUGAGAGGCUCAACCUCUUCCCGCCGUUGAAACUGAUUGUCUUGAGUGGGCGAGAAGUAUGCGGAAUGCGUGGUGUAGCGGUGAAAUGCAUAGAUAUCACGCAGAACUCCGAUUGCGAAGGCAGCAUACCGGCGCCCAACUGACGCUGAAGCACGAAAGCGUGGGUAUCGAACAGGAUUAGAUACUCUGGUAGUCCACGCAGUAAACGAUGAAUACUAAUUGUUCGGGUCAAAUGAGAUCUGAGUGAUACAGCGAAAGCGUUAAGUAUUCCACCUGGGGAGUACGCCGGCAACGGUGAAACUCAAAGGAAUUGACGGGGGCCCGCACAAGCGGAGGAACAUGUGGUUUAAUUCGAUGAUACGCGAGGAACCUUACCCGGGCUCAAACGACACAGGAAUGAUCUGAGAAAUCAGGCAGUCCUCCGGGACCUGUGUCGAGGUGCUGCAUGGUUGUCGUCAGCUCGUGCCGUGAGGUGUCGGCUUAAGUGCCAUAACGAGCGCAACCCCCAUCGACAGUUGCCAGCAGGUGAAGCUGGGCACUCUGUCGAGACUGCCGGCGCAAGCUGUGAGGAAGGCGGGGAUGACGUCAAAUCAGCACGGCCCUUACGUCCGGGGCGACACACGUGUUACAAUGGCAGGUACAGCGGGAAGCCACCUGGCGACAGGGAGCGGAACCCGAAAGCCUGCCUCAGUUCGGAUUGGAGUCUGCAACUCGACUCCAUGAAGCUGGAUUCGCUAGUAAUCGCGCAUCAGCCACGGCGCGGUGAAUACGUUCCCGGGCCU
rnacentral:rRNA from 1 species